rnacentral:lncRNA from 1 species
GCUUCUACCAGCAAUACAUAGAUGAAUCUAUUUUGUGAUAUUCUCACUAUUAAUGGUGAUUAUUCAUUUUUAAAUAUUUUCCUUUUUUUUCUUUAUAGCACUUGUUUAGCGCUCAGCACAGGACUGUGACUAGACAGAGUAGACAGCGGCUGAUAAAUAACAACAGUUUGAUGGAACGUUUCCUGCAGGAUGUUCUGCAACACCACCCCUGCAAUUACCAGGACAACAGAUUAGCACCGUGUGAGAUGCCUACAAAUACCACAGCACCUGAGGUGAUUCGUUUGGAUGAGAUUUUCCCAGACAAUACUGAAGCUGAAGAAAUAAACUCCAAGCGUUCCGAGUCUGUUGAAGAGCUGAGUGCUCUCCCUGGCGUCUCUCAGAACUCCACGAAAGAGGUUUCAGUUCGACCAUCAGUUAUUCAAAAACUAGAGAAGGGACAGCAGCAGUCUUUGGAGUUUAAUAAAAUUGAGAGUUGUGUAAGAAAAAUUAAUCCAGUAGGUGUUGGUCAAGCUACAAAUAGUGGCAAAAGUGUAAUCCGUCUUCCUGUGAUUUGUAAUGCUAGAUGUUUGCCUGAAAGUUCUCAUGCUAGGCCAGUUGUCGUGAGUACUAGUAGGGCACCACUAGCAGCCUCUUCAGCGUUAGUUAGCAAAUUUAACCCAAGCAAAGAUGACAGAUAUGUUAAGGAGCUAGAUGAGGCCCCUAGAAAUCAUAUGCCAUCAUGCCAUCUGGAAACUUCUUCAGGUUCUUAUGAGAAUCCUAAAGAAUCAAAUGGAAAAUCUGUAUGUGUGAAUUUAGAUAAAUUGCUUUACCAGAAAGAUGCAGAAUGUCAGGGUGAAACUUUGUCACCUAUCUAUAAAUUCCAUGAACCGAAGGAUACUAAGAGUUCUGUAGGAGUAGAAUCUUCUUCCAGCAUAGCAGUAAACUCAGUAGUAAAGCUGAAUAAACCUGAUGUGUCAUCUGCCCAGUGGAUCUCGGUAGGUGCCAUUCCAAAGCACCAUGGGGAAUUCCUGUCACGUGAAGAUUGUACCCAGGAAGAAAAGCAUUUGGUUUGUAACAAGCCAGGGGUUUUGAAACAGAAGUGUUCAGUGAGUGCUACAGUGAAGUUGGAUCGAGGCUCUCUUCAGUCAGUGUCUGUCCCAGCCCGAAAGGCUGUACAAGAGCUACACCUUUGGAAAGAGGAACAAGGUGAUCACGAAGAUGAGAACUGUGGAUCUCGAGGUUCUGAAAUGAGUUUCAAAUAUGAUUCCUUUUCUCAUUCACCAACUGAUCUAUCUGAAGUGACUGCCAGAAAAAUAAACCUUUCAGGGGAAAUACAUGCCCCUUUACAGUACAAGAGUAAUGAAAUAAGCUCAGAGAAGUGUGACGAUUCUCUUCAGGUGGUUGACAACCAACCUCAAGUGAUUAAUAAAGAAAAAAACCCUCAAAAAGUAACAUGCAUUAGCCUGGUUGAUGAAAGCUAUGAUUCCAGUGGUUCGGAAAUGAAUUUUGAUUGUGAUAACUCAGCUGAGCCAACUGACAACGACCCCCAACAGGCUGACAUAGAUGUAGUCUUUCCUGCUGGGGUUCCCAUUGAUUUAGUUGAUAGGAGCUAUGGAUCUGACAGCUCCAAAGGAAGGGCUGCUUCUGUUGCCUCAAUUGAAUUGGUAGUUGAGGAGCCCCCAGUGAAUGUCACAAAAAAGAAACUUCACAGGAGGCCUCGCAUUUGCCUGGUGGAUAAAAGCUGCAAAUAUGGUUAUUCCGAAUCAAGUUCUGACAGUGAAGGUUUCCCUCAGUCAGCAGAUGACCAUCCCCGAAUGACUGUUACGGAAGGAAACCAGAAAGGUAGACCUGUCCAGCUCAAAAAUAAGAAAUAUAAGCCCAGUAGUGCCAAAGCACAUCUUGCUUGUGGUGUUUCCCUUGAGGCAGUGAAUCAACCCCAGGGAGAUGUUGAAGGAAUAAAACUUCUAAAAAAGAAGGAUGCUGGCCUUGUGCAUAUGAACUGUGAGUCUCAUGCUCCUGAAAUGGGUUUUCAUGCUAAUGCUGAAUUAGUAGCCAAUGAAUCUCAAGUAGCAGUUAAAGAACUAAACCUUCAGGCAGUAGAUACUGACUUAGACAAUAAGAGUGUUCAAUCUAGUAUUUCUGAUCUAAGUUUUGAGUCGAAUGAUUGUCUUUAUCAGUCAGCUAAUGAUGAUCUUGAAGGGGAUUUAGGUGAAGUAAAUCUUACAGAGGUAAAUGUUGACGUGGAAGCUCAGAGCAGUGGGUGCUCCAGUUCUGAGUUGACAUUUGAUUCUGAUUCCCCUCUUCUAUCAGUUACUGAGCGGUCUCAGCUGGAUGUUGAAAGACUAAAAGAAGAUCCCUUUAACCUGGAAGAGGAGAGCUGUGAGUCAGAUAGCUCUGGCAUAACGUUUGAUUCUGAUAUUGCUACUUUCUCAGUAGCUGACCAACCUCAAGUAGCUGUUUAUGAGGAAGAGCCUGUUGAUCUGGAAAAUGAGAGUGAUGAAUCUUGUGUUUCUGAUAUAACUUUUGAUUCUGAUAUUCCUCUUCAUUCAGGAAAUGAGCAAGCCGAAGUAGCUGUUAAAGAAGUAAUCAUUCAGGAAGAAGAAUAUGUACCCUUAGAAAAGAAGAAUGCUAAUCCCAGUGGUUCUGAAAUCAGUUUGGAUUCUUAUGCCCCUCUUCAUUCAGUGACUAAUCCUCCCGAAGUAGCCGUUAGAAAACUAAAUUCUCAAAAAGAGCAGCAGGUACACUUAAAACAUAAAGAAAACAAACCUACUGAUUCUGAACUAAAUUUGAGUUGUGAUACUUUUCAUUCAACUACUGGGCAUUCUGAAGAUCUCGUUAAUGACAGAAACUUUCAGAAAGAAGAGCACGUACAGUUAGAAAAUAAACAUCACAAAUUCAGUGUAUCUGGAACACGACCAGAUUCUGACAUCCCUCUUCUGUCAGUGAUUCACAAACCUCAAGUAGUUGUUAAAAAUAUUUGGCUUCACAAAGAGAAACAGGCUGGAUUUCAAGGCAGAAGUGCUGACUUUAGUGCCUCUGAAGUAAAGUCUAAUGUUCUUCACUGCCCAGUAACAGAACCUCAGGUAUCUCUUAAAAGAAAAGAAAAGAAGAAACAUAUUGAAAAGAAGACUGAUAAAUAUGGCGAUUCUGAACUAAUUUUGAAUUCUGAUGACCUUCCUCAGUCAGUGCGUAAAAAACCUCGACUAGCUGUUUUGCAGGAGGACCUUGUUCACCCAGAAGGUGAAGGUACUCAAUGUAGAGGUUUUGAAGCACAUUUGGAUGUUACUGGCUCUCUUUGUUCAGUCUCUGACCAACCUCAUCUGAUUCUUUGGAAUGAAAAACUUGUUAAUCUGAAAGACAGAAGCAAACUUAGUGACUCUAAAAUAAGUUUUCAUUCUGUUGAGCAUCUUCAGUCAUUGGCUGAACAACAUCACAAAGUGAUUAAGAAAAAGACUAUCAUCCUGAAAAGUAAGAUUGAUGAGCCUGGUUGCUCAAAAGCAAUACAUAAUUCUGAGGUUCUAAAGUCUGCAGCUGAUCAACCUGAAGUAGCUGUUAAGUGGAUAAGCCAGGGGAAAGAAUAUAGAAUAUUCUUGGAAAAUAAGAGCAAAAACAUUUAUUUUGAAACAAAUUUGGAUUCAGAUUUCUUGGUUCAAGCAAUAGUUGAUCGACCUAACAUAGCUGCUGCGAAGUCAGAGGCAGAAGGUAAGUGUGAUCCAUCUGGUGAUUCUGAAGGAAACUCUGAUUCUGCUGCCUCUGUCCAGCCAGUGGCUGACCAGCUGAGGGAAAUGGCGAAAGAAACAGCUCCGAGGAAGAAUGAAGAUGUUGACAUUGAAGGUAAGAGGGCUGAAGCUGAGGGUUUUGAAAUUAUACAUGAUUCUGAUGUCCGUCAGCCAGUGACUGGCCAAACAAAAGUCAUUCAAGAGGUGAAACUUUUGAAAAAGCGUCUUGGUUUGGAAGAUAAGAAUGUCAAACCUAGUGGUUCCAAGAUGAAUUUUUAUUCUAAUGAACCCCCUCAAUCUGUGACUAAUGAGGAGCCUAUUAAAGAAGCAAAUCUUCCAGUGAAGGGACAUGUUUGUUUUGAUGAUAAGGGCUAUCAAUCUGACAAUUCUGACAUAAUUUACAUUUCAAAUAUCCCUUUCCGGUCAGUCAUUCAGCAACCACAGAGUUUGCAAGAGAAGUGUGCCAGUUUAGAAAUGAAGAGCAGCGAUCCUCAUCCUACAACAAGUUUUGAUUCCAAUGAACCUUGUCAGUCAAUGCCUGGCCAGCUUCAAAAAACUGUCCAAGAAAUGAAUCCUAAGGAAGGCCAUAUUUACCCGGAAGAUAAGAGCUGCAAUGUAGUUGGUUUUGAGGGAAGUUAUGAUUCUGAUGUUCCUGUCCAGUUUGUGGUCGAUCCUUCUCAUGCAUCUGUCAAAGAAAUAAAUGUGCAGGAGGAGGACCAUAAUGACCUAGAAAAUGAGAGCUAUAAAGCCUGUUGUUCUGAAACAAAAUGUGGUUCUGGCAUUCAUCUGCAGUCAGAAGUUGAUCCACCUCAGGUGGCUUGGAAAGAAACAAGCUUUCAAAACAAAGAGCUUUUUGACGUGGAAGGACAGGUCAGUGAGCCUAGUGAUUCUGAAAUGUAUGAUUCUCAUGUCUCUUUUCAAAUCAUAUUGACCCAGUCGCAAUCAGAUGGGGAAGCUGAUUCUCCAGAGGUGGUGGUUGUGAAUGUGGUGCCUGGUGAUUGUGAUGGUGAAGGAAUUUCUGAUCCUGAGAUCCCUCUUCAGUUAGGAACUGACCCACCUCAGUUAUCUAUCGAAGGAAUUUCUGAUUCUGAGAUCCCUCUUCAGUUAGUGACUGACCCACCUCAGUUAACCAUUGAAGAAACCAGCUGUGUAAAUGCAGAAUCUGUGGAUGUAGGAAAGAGCUACUGUGACUUUUGUGGUUCUGAGUUAAGAUAUGAAGCCUCUUCUCAAUCAGAGACAAACCAAUUCAAAAAGACUUUCAAAAUAAUAAACCGGAAUAAUGACUAUAUUAUUCUGGGAGACUCCACUUGUCAAUCUUGUAGUUGUGAAGUAGAUUUUAACGUUGAUGCCUCUGGUCAGUCUGUGACUCACCAGUCACAAGGGCCUGGUCAAGAAAGUUUCUACUCAGAAGAUAAGAGCUAUGAAUCUGAUGGUCCUGAAGGAAAUUUUUAUUUUGAAGGCACUUCUCAGAAAACUGAUGCUGAAGUCAGUCUUUGGAAAGAUCCAGAAUAUACCAGACUUAAUGAUAACAGCUGGGACUCUAGUGGUUCUGCAAUGGACAGUGCUGCCUCUUCUAAGUCCGUGAUCCAUCACACAGCUGAUAGAGAAAACCUUUUGAAGCUGAAACAUGCAGACCUAGCAUGCAAGAGUGGUACAUCUUAUGGUUCUCAGAUAGAUUUUCAGUGUGAUCCCUCAAUUCAGGCUGAUGCACAGCAGCCUCUGGAAGUUAAGAAAACACGCCCACGGAAGAGGGUAACUUUUGACCUAAGAGAAUACCAUUAUUUUCCUUCAAACUCUGUUUCUGUGGUUGAUUCUGUAAAGAACCUGGACGAAGAACCAGAAGUCGUAGAAGAUUCUGAUGAACCAGUCCUUGAAACCUUGCCUCUUGCGUCUCCUUCAGUUUCAGGAGAAACACAGCCUCAAAAAAUGAUAGGUGAUAACACCAAAACUAACUGCCUUGUGAAGAAAUUUAAGAAAGACCAUGUUCAUUGUUACUGUCACAAUAACUGUACAACCAGGAAAGCUUCACUGAAUGAAGAAACAGAGCCUACCUGGCCUGACUCUAACCAGAAUAUUGUAUCCGUUCAGACUCUUCCAGAUAGUGACCAUGUUGCAGGUGGAUCUGCAGAUACCAGUGACAUUUCAGUCAUCUUAGAAAAGACAUGCUGUCACUGUCCUCUAGCAGUGGAGCUGCUUAAACAGAAUUGGCAUUUGGCUUCUCAGAGCCAGGCAUCAAAAGUAAACCAUGCAACUCAAACCAAUAAGUACUCAUUAAAGAAGAGAAAAAUAACCGGACAAGAAGGAUCACCCAAAAGGAAGUGUGUACAGAAUGACAGAAAAGGGAAGAAACAAGCUCAAGUUGUGACAGUUGAAGUUCCCACAACAAGUGCUGAAGUUUUGGAGCCCGGACAGCCCAGUACCCCAGUCUGUGUUUCUUCCGCAGAUGCGAAACGGAAGGAAGGCAGAUCCUCCCGCUCAUCUAAAAGGAAGCAGGGCAGUUGUGAUAGUCAGUUGCAGUUUAUGGGCAAAGGUAAACAGAAUAAUCUUAAUGAGCCAUUGCCUAAGAAAACUGUAAUUAAUCCUCCGCAGAACCCAGUCGUAGCAGGCUCUGACACAAGUGAGAGUGUCGAUGUUCAUCAUAAUGAGAGUGAUGGAAACUCCAGUGGAGCAAGGAGCUGUGCUCCUACACAAAACAUUGCUCCAAAAUCUUUCAUAACAACGGCAAGAUACAAAUUACGGUCACGUUGUGGGAGCAAUGAAUCUUGCGUAUUUUUAGAAAGUAUAGACAAUGUGAUCACUGGUGAGGCUCCCAAGGAUAGUGAUUUCCAGCCGACUCCUUCAAAUCGUAAUGAUGCCAAAGUCUCUCCACAAUCAGUUAAAAAUAAGUGUUUUGAAAGUAAAAGUAAAAAAAAAGUUUCAAUAAGGAAGGCGACAACUAGUAUUAAACCACGUUUCCCCCAAAGCAUUUUUAAAGCAGUUAUUCGCCAGCAAAACACCAGAAUAACUUCUGAAAAGCAGUCAAUUUGGAUUCAGACUAAAGCAAAUGCUAUCAUCAGAAAGUAUACUUUGAAAUACUCUGUUUUCUUGCGUCAUAGAUAUCAGAGUAGGGCCACUUUUUUUGCAGUGAAUCCCAAGAAGAAAAUACCUGAUGGUAUUAGACUAAAGAAGGGGAGGGAACCAGGUAAAAUGCUUUUGAAUUCCUCGGUUCCCCCAGCUCAUUUCCAAGAACGGUUCAGAGCUAUUGCGGGACCCUCUCAGAAGCAAUUGGCACUGCGUUCUUCCAGCACUGUGGGAAGAAAUGAACUUGAUGAUAAAACUUACACUUACAAAAAGAAAACACCUACACUCGUGAAAGCAUACAACUUGAGAAGUUCACGUUACGUUCCGACUGGUGACAGGAUGACAACUCGUCUCUCAAGCAAACAAAGUUAUUGAGGUAAAACAAGUGUUUGUGUUCUGGCUGGUAAAGAAUUCAGUACUUCAAUUGAAAUACAUUUGGUACUUUUGUGCACGUAGCUUUUCCAACUUUGGUGGGAAAAUUAACCUUAAAAUAUUUUGCUACAGAUAUUAUUUUUCAGAACUUUUAUAUUUAUUUAAAUUAGCUUUUAGAGCCCCCGCAUCUUUUUUUUUUUUUUUAAGAUUUCAAAGGAACCUUUGUCCAACAUUUUCUGUAGAAGAGCUUCAUUUGUCAUAAUAUAAUUUAAUGGAGUAU